ACGGGUUGCAGCUGGACGGCACACUGCGCGCCGUCGCGGGCGGCGCGCGCGCGGCCGGCGGCACCCUGGCCGUGGUGCUCGGCACGCCGGGCCUGCGCC
rnacentral:tRNA from 1 species